rnacentral:rRNA from 1 species
GGGGAUAAGCGGAAGAAAUUCCGUCUAAUACCGCGUAAUAACUCCGAGAGGCAUCUCCUGGGGUUUAAAGGGUAACACCGGCUACGGAUGGCCAUGCGGCGCAUUAGCUAGUUGGCGGGGUAACGGCCCACCAAGGCGACGAUGCGUAGGGGUUCUGAGAGGAAGGUCCCCCACACUGGUACUGAGACACGGACCAGACUCCUACGGGAGGCAGCAGUGAGGAAUAUUGGUCAAUGGGCGCGAGCCUGAACCAGCCAAGUCGCGUGAGGGAAGACGGUCCUAUGGAUUGUAAACCUCUUUUGUCGGGGAGCAAAAGACGCCACGCGUGGCGUUCCGAGAGUACCCGAAGAAAAAGCAUCGGCUAACUCCGUGCCAGCAGCCGCGGUAAUACGGAGGAUGCGAGCGUUAUCCGGAUUUAUUGGGUUUAAAGGGUGCGCAGGCGGAAGAUCAAGUCAGCGGUAAAAUUGAGAGGCUCAACCUCUUCGAGCCGUUGAAACUGGUUUUCUUGAGUGAGCGAGAAGUAUGCGGAAUGCGUGGUGUAGCGGUGAAAUGCAUAGAUAUCACGCAGAACUCCGAUUGCGAAGGCAGCAUACCGGCGCUCAACUGACGCUCAUGCACGAAAGUGUGGGUAUCGAACAGGAUUAGAUACCCUGGUAGUCCACACAGUAAACGA